GAUGAACGCUGGCGGCGUGCCUAAUACAUGCAAGUCGAGCGAACAGACGAGGAGCUUGCUCCUCUGACGUUAGCGGCGGACGGGUGAGUAACACGUGGAUAACCUACCUAUAAGACUGGGAUAACUUCGGGAAACCGGAGCUAAUACCGGAUAAUAUAUUGAACCGCAUGGUUCAAUAGUGAAAGACGGUUUUGCUGUCACUUAUAGAUGGAUCCGCGCCGCAUUAGCUAGUUGGUAAGGUAACGGCUUACCAAGGCAACGAUGCGUAGCCGACCUGUGAGGGGGAUCGGCCACACUGGAGCUGGGACACGGUCCAGACUCCUACGGGAGGCAGCAGUAGGGAAUGUUCCGCAAUGGGCGAAAGCCUGACGGAGCAACGCCGCGUGAGUGAUGAAGGUCUUGGGAUCGUAAAACUCUGUUAUUAGGGAAGAACAAAUGUGUAAGUAGCUAUGCACGUCUUGACGGUACCUAAUCAGGAAGCCACGGCUAACUACGUG
rnacentral:rRNA from 1 species